rnacentral:rRNA from 1 species
GACGAACGCUGGCGGCGUGCUUAACACAUGCAAGUCGAGCGGUAAGGCCCUUUCGGGGGUACACGAGCGGCGAACGGGUGAGUAACACGUGGGUGACCUGCCCUCAGCUCUGGGAUAAGCCUGGGAAACCGGGUCUAAUACUGGAUAUGACCCCAUGACGCAUGUUGUGGGGUGGAAAGCCUUGUGCGGCUGAGGAUGGGCCCGCGGCCUAUCAGCUUGUUGGUGGGGUGAUGGCCUACCAAGGCGACGACGGGUAGCCGGCCUGAGAGGGCGACCGGCCACACUGGGACUGAGACACGGCCCAGACUCCUACGGGAGGCAGCAGUGGGGAAUCUUGCGCAAUGGGCGAAAGCCUGACGCAGCGACGCCG